UAGAUAACAGUUCUCUGGGCAUUUUAAUACUUUCCAGUGGUAUUGGCAUAUGAGAGAAAACAUCUUAAGACUGUGUCCUAGUCUGUUGCAGCUGGUUUAAUGAAACAGAUUAAAACUGAAGAAGCAAAUGGACCAAUAACACUAAAAAAAAAAAGUAGUUCCAGGAUCUUUAUCAUGAAUACAUUUUUUCAUGUGAUGUGUUCAGUCAACAUCUAUGCCAUGUUUACAAACCAAUUCUCUUGGCGAUGUCUUCCCCUGUCUUCCAGAAGUUGAGAGUAAUUUCUUCUUUCAGAUAGAAAAGAAGAAUGAUUUACAAUAAAGUUAAAUUACUCGCCAGCA